AGCAGCCGCGGUAAUUCCAGCUCCAAUAGCGUAUAUUAAAGUUGUUGCAGUUAAAAAGCUCGUAGUUGAAUUUCGGGAUCAAUAUGUUGGUCGUGCCUCGGUACGUACUGGCGUCAUUGGUUUCUACCUUCUGAAGAACCUCGAUGUCAUUAAUUUGGUGUCUUGGGGAAUCAGGACUGUUACUUUGAAAAAAUUAGAGUGUUUAAAGCAGGCUCACGCUUGAAUACAUUAGCAUGGAAUAAUGAAAUAGGACGUUUGAUUCUAUUUUGUUGGUUUCUAGGAUCGACGUAAUGAUUAAUAGGGAUAGUUGGGGGCAUUAGUAUUCAAUUGUCAGAGGUGAAAUUCUUGGAUUUAUUGAAGACUAACUACUGCGAAAGCAUUUGCCAAGGAUGUUUUCAUUAAUCUAAGAACGAAAGUUAGGGGAUCGAAGACGAUCAGAUACCGUCGUAGUCUUAACCAUAAACUAUAGCCGACUAGGGAUCGGAUGAUGUUAAUUUUUAAUGACUCAUUCGGCGCCUUA
rnacentral:rRNA from 1 species